ensembl:lncRNA
AAAAAAAGAUAUUAUACAGAAAAUGGUCAUGUCAGAUAACAGUGUUUGAGUUCAUUCCUUAGCUUAAGCCCUACGUGUAGCUCAUCGCUGCCUAACUUCUGCAUGCCCAGACUUUUAGAGGUCCUGUCCUGGGGCUCUGCCCAAAGCUCCUCAGACAGCUUGCCGCUCUCCUCCACAACUCCAGAGCAGCACAAUGAGUGAACACCAUCCUGUGCUCCUCAGGAAUACUCAGGAUGGUUUAUCUGUCCUGUAUGCUUUCACCUUAUCCUGCUCUUUGCUUCCAUUUGCCUCCAUUCUGAUGGCAUCUCCUCUACAUUCCCCAGCCAGCAGCAUAUUUUGGAGAUUUAACUGGAAGUAACCCAGCACAUUAAACUCACAGUAACUCUCUAUGCAGGGACGAAUUUUAUUCAGGUCAGGCAAAGAAUUCAGGUGCAGUUCAUGGGACUUGGAACCAAACUAUCCUUUAUGAUUGUUCACUAACCUUGUUAGGUCUUGAGAAAAAAUUCCUAGGCUGAAGCGAUCCAUUUCCUAAUCAAAGUUGUGAUCACUUUGUGCCUCAGGAUGAAAAACAGCAAUAAGGUUUACAUUGCAGGCUGCAGUCUGUGCUAGGUUGAAAGACUGGAGUCCUCAGCCUAGUAGCACUGCCACUGUCAUAUGUCCUUCAUAUGGAACAAGGCUGUACAAGGGGUAGGGAGUUGACCCAGCCCAAAGGGCUCCUGGUCAGAAUACUUGUGUGCACACCAGGGGAGAGAAUUUUGUGGACUCUGUGUCAGGAGGUCUGUCCGGAUCAAUAGGUUCUAGGCAAAACCUAAAUAUACAUCACUGCUCACCACUGCUUUCACUCAGUCAAACAAAUAUGUUUAAAGCUCCACUACUAACUCACCUUUAAACUUAUCCAGAGAUCUGAAAAAACCAUACCAACCUGAAACCUGAGGACCACUUCCAAACAAAACAACCUCUACAGCUGUGACUUGGGAAGAGAAUGAAUUCAUUUAAAGAUGAAACCUUUUAUGUAACAGCCAUUUCAAAAUAGAAAUACAAUGUUUUUUUCAUACAUCAAUCCCAAACCAUCAACAUAGUUAAUAAAUGAGGUUUAUAUGUUUGUGAAAGAACAUUUCCUGUUCUAUACAUUAUAAACUUCUCUCCCAGUAGGUGCAGUGCAGCUUGGACAGGUAGCAGCCCACAUUUACUGAGGGACCUCUGUUUUUCCAGAGUCGUAGAGCAAAUCAUCACCAUUAAUCUGAGGUGUGUCCCUCUCACCUUCCCUGAUGGCAAAUCCUACAGGUGGAAGAGAUUAAUAAUAUGCAAAGCAGGAAUGGUCACAGAGUCAGAGUUCAGAAAGCUGAAAGAAUCAAUCUACUGGUAUAGGUGUGUGUGCACAGAAAUGAAGAUAUUGACAUGAGAAAAUAACAGUGGAAUCAGAAGAAACAAGAAAUGAAUCAACGAGACUAAUUCAGGUGCAGAGAAUUUCCACAGAGGCCUUCAAAGAUCUCUCCCCAUUGGCUAUAUGGAGUCUUCACUGAAUAAAAGCUGGUAAAAGCUGCAUUUUCAUCUUCAAGAGACAUCUACUGUUGAAAUCUUUCUAAGCCUAGCCAAGUUUAUUUUCUGCCUUAUCACACUUGAAUAUUUUUUACCAAAGGAAAAACAAAAGAAGGCACUUAACAUGCUUGUGACCUAAAUAUUUUACUAUAGGAAGAUUGCAUUCACUUUACACCUGGGCAGCCAGGCUUUGUUCUUUGUGGCACUGUAUGUCCAAACCACCUCUCCAAUGGAAGCAGAGCUUAUUAUUCUUCAGUAUUUUUAAAGUCUCAUACCUAGUGCUUUUCAAAGUAAUGGAAUCUGAACUGGAGUCAAAAGAUGUGAGUACUCAGUAUAGUUGUCAUUUACUUGAACAUUCCUUAAAGGUAUAUUUAAAUGAUCAUAGGUUGUGCAAGUUCAGAUAAUUCAUUUUCUAGUGAAGCAAAUACUGACUUCAAAAAUUUGCUAUGUCUGAAAUGAUAUGCUGCUACCGUUAGAUAAGUACUUCCAAAGCAUGAAGAUAAUGACGUGUUGUGUGCCCAAGUGUGUUAAGAGUGGUUAAAAGGCAAAGUCUUCUGGGAUAGCCCUGGGGACCUGAAGGGGUGGGGGGAAUCUGAUGCGUUUUGUCCACAACGUCUAAUAAGGAAGAGCCAUGUUUAUCCCUCGCACUUCUGCCUGAGAGGGCUAGCUGGCACAGUGAUACUAGAGAGCAUGUUGAUAAUUUAAGUGACAUGGACCACCAGUAGUCUAAUGCUCAGUUUUUAUUCCUGGCCCAGUUCUAUUAGGCAGCUUAGAAAUAGCCCUUUGAACCCAUGCUUUAGUGAUAUGUUCAUCUGCUGAAGAAAAUAUGUUCUCACUUCUUUCAUGUUUAUUUGGAGGCUAAAGUAUAAAGUCUGCCUGGCUGUGGUGUUUGAACAAGAGAUAAUGUAUGGAGUCCUAGAAAAAAUGGUGUAUCUUUUUGUCUCAAAAUUUUAUGAUUCUCUUUCUUCAGAAGAGGAUAUCCUGUCCAUAGCACACUUGCAUUCAUGAAGAAACCCAAACAUGGGAGACUUCUGUGAUACUCUUUGGUCUCUGCAAGACAUCAGAGUUAGCAUAAGUUCCUUCACCAAUUCUUUGACAGAUACUCUAAUUUAAACUGGAAUUUUCCUAUCCGUAUGUCGUAAAGAACACAAGUGAGUCAAGAAAUCAGUUGUAUACCUUGUAAUAACUUCCUCAAAAACCUUAUUCCUAUACUAGAAGACAUUAUUUCUUCUUGUAUUACCAAACAUUAACUUAUAACUAGCUUUCCAAGUCAUUAUGUAUUUAAGUAGACAAGAUACACGAUAAGGGAUAAUUAUGAGUGAUGAUACAGACACCAGCUAGAUGAACAUAAACAAACAUGAUUAAAUAUGUAUUUAUUUUUUAUAAGUUUUUACUAGAGCUACCAAUAUCUGCAGAAACUAUUUCUGAACAAGACUGAAUCAUUUUUGACUUUUCUGUGACUCGGUUGUGUUAGUUGAUAUCUAUGUCAGUGUGGCUGUUGGCUUCUCUUGAUUGUUAUAUAUUCAAGCUUGUCAUCAUCAGAAGAAUCAACAAGUGACCCAAUUCAGCUUGGUUUUCACCUUUCACCCACGUAAAAUUUCAAAAGGAGACUCAUUGUUUCUGCAUGUGUCGUAACCCUGUAAUUAUGAAGAAAUUCAGUAGCAAAUUACUUCCAUGGCUUUUCCCCUCCAUUCUCUGCAGUUGAAAGCAUUCUUUCAAGAGACAUUAACUAGUCUCAAUUUCCCUGUUCUUCUGAGAAUAGCACGCUAACAAAAAUAUACACUAAAUAUUUUCCUGAGAGAGAAAAUCUAGUGAAGUCAGUGGAAAUAAAUCUCUGCUCAUUAUCAGUUACAAUUUGACAUGCAUUCCUCUUAUAGCUCAGCUCCUCAUUUACGUUGGAGCGGUACACACUGGGGAGCAUCUCACAAUACUGAAGAAGUUUCUGUGUGAACAAAAUGUGUUUAAUAAUUUUUUUUUCUAG